UUGUAUUGAGAAAAAUGGCUUCUCCCCAGUUUGAACUGUAAAAAGGAAUACUCUAGAACUAGUGCAGACCAAAUCAACUGCUUGUACCACAAUUUAUACAUAGUUUUACUUCAAUUGCAGCAGUUCAACUUCUUUGCUUUGCUAACAUUAAUGGUGGAGUAUUCAGGUUUUUGCAAGUGUGUGUGCAUAUUGGAUGCUUUGGCUUUGAAUGAAAGAAGCCUUCUUCUACUGUGAGAGGUACUAUCCAUGGAAUUUUAUGAGAGACAAAUCAAAAGACAUGACAUGGGACACUGCAUGGGCCUGAUUCAUGAACUGGCCACUCUCUUUCUUGUUUGAUUCAGUCAAACCCUAACCCACAACCUUUUUGUUUUCUUUUUGUUAAUUUAUAGUCAUAAUAAGAAAAGGCUCCAACAGCUGUAAUCCAAUCUUCAUUUGACUCUUAGCUCAAAAAUUGCAGUUCUCUACAAAUGUCGUAUCUGCUUUUGACAUUUGUAUAUGCAGCAUUUGCAUGAAAAUUCCUAUCAAAAAACUAAACAAAAAAG
rnacentral:lncRNA from 1 species